AACAAAGAUGCUAAACUGACAGUUGACAGGUAGAAAACAAAGAUGCUAAACCGACAGUUAAAAAGGUAGAAAACAAAGAUGCUAAACCGACAGUUGACAGGUAGAAAACAAAGAUGCUAAACUGACAGUUGACAGGUAGGAAACAAAGAUGCUAAACUGACAGUUGACAGGUAGAAAACAAAGAUGCUAAAGUGACAGUUGACAGGUAGAAAACAAAGAUGCUAAACUGACAGUUGACAGGUAGAAAACAAAGAUGCUAAACCGACAGUUGACAGGUAGAAAACAAAGAUGCUAAACCGACAGUUGACAGGUAGAAAACAAAGAUGCUAAAAUGACAGUUGACAGAUAGAAAACAAAGAUGCUAAACUGACAGUUGACAGGUAGAAAACAACAAAGAUGCUAAACUGACAGUUGACAGGUAGAAAACAAAGAUGCUAAACUGACAGUUGACAGGUAGAAAACAAAGAUGCUAAAGUGACAGUUGACAGGUAGAAAACAAAGAUGCUAAA